UACGUAGGAGACAAACGUUAUCCGGAGUUACUGGGCGUAAAGGGCGUGUAGGCGGUUAGUUAAGUCUGGCGUGAAAGCUCUCGGCUAAACCGGGAGAGGUCGUCGGAUACUGGCAAACUAGAGGAUGGUAGAGGCGUGUGGAAUUCCGGGUGUAGUGGUGAAAUGCGUAGAGAUCCGGAGGAACACCAGUGGCGAAGGCGACACGCUGGGCCAUACCUGACGCUAAAGCGCGACAGCAUGGGGAGCGAACGGG
rnacentral:rRNA from 1 species